GACGAACGCUGGCGGCGUGCUUAACACAUGCAAGUCGAACGGAAAGGCCCUGCUUUUGUGGGGUGCUCGAGUGGCGAACGGGUGAGUAACACGUGAGUAACCUUCCCUUUACUUUUGGAUAACUUCAGGAAACUGGGGCUAAUACCGGAUAGGAGCUCCUGCUGCAUGGUGGUGGUUGGAAAGUUUCGGCGGUUGGGGAUGGACUCGCGGCUUAUCAGCUUGUUGGUGGGGUAGUGGCUUACCAAGGCUUUGACGGGUAGCCGGCCUGAGAGGGUGACCGGCCACAUUGGGACUGAGAUACGGCCAAGACUCCUACGGGAGGAAGCAGUGGGGAAUAUUGAAAAAUGGGCGGAAGCCUGAUGCGGCAAGGCCGCGGGCGGGAUGACGGCCUUCGGGUUGUAAACCGCUUUCGCCUGUGACGAAGCGUGAGUGACGGUAAUGGGUAAAGAAGCACCGGCUAACUACGUG
rnacentral:rRNA from 1 species